rnacentral:rRNA from 1 species
UAGGGAAUCUUCCGCAAUGGACGAAAGUCUGACGGAGCAACGCCGCGUGAGUGAUGAAGGUUUUCGGAUCGUAAAACUCUGUUGUUAGGGAAGAACAAGUUGGGUAGUAACUGACCCAACCUUGACGGUACCUAACCAGAAAGCCACGGCUAACUACGUGCCAGCAGCCGCGGUAAUACGUAGGUGGCAAGCGUUGUCCGGAAUUAUUGGGCGUAAAGCGCUCGCAGGCGGUCUUUUAAGUCUGAUGUGAAAGCCCACGGCUUAACCGUGGAGGGUCAUUGGAAACUGGAGGACUUGAGUACAGAAGAGGAGAGUGGAAUUCCACGUGUAGCGGUGAAAUGCGUAGAGAUGUGGGGGAACACCAGUGGCGAAGGCGACUCUCUGGUCUGUAACUGACGCUGAGGAGCGAAAGCGUGGGUAGCGAACAGG